GUCAACAUGCACCUAGACCUAUUGCUAGCUAGAUGUGAAACCCAAUGGGUUACACACAUUAAGGAAUUAAUCAAAGAACCAAUUGGAUUCAUUUUAUAGAUCAAUUGAAACUAAUUGGGUGGCUAAUUGGCAAGCUAACACUUGUAGGCUAACCCUUGCUCCUAGCCAAAUUAGAUUUGGCUUAAACCUUAUUUAAUUGGGCUUACCUAUUUGUGUAGGAUCCUGAUUGGAUCGAGCCUAAAGGGAGUAGCCAAGUUUGGGCAUCCCCAACCC
rnacentral:lncRNA from 1 species